GAUGAACGCUGGCGGCAGGCUUAACACAUGCAAGUCGAACGCAUCCUUCGGGGUGAGUGGCAGACGGGUGAGUAACGCGUGGGAAUAUGCCCUUCAGUACGGAAUAACUCAGGGAAACUUGUGCUAAUACCGUAUACGCCCUUUUGGGGAAAGAUUUAUCGCUGAAGGAUUAGCCCGCGUCUGAUUAGCUAGUUGGUGGGGUAAUGGCCUACCAAGGCGACGAUCAGUAGCUGGUCUGAGAGGAUGAUCAGCCACACUGGGACUGAGACACGGCCCAGACUCCUACGGGAGGCAGCAGUGGGGAAUAUUGGACAAUGGGCGCAAGCCUGAUCCAGCCAUGCCGCGUGAGUGAUGAAGGCCUUAGGGUUGUAAAGCUCUUUCGUUGGGGAAGAUAAUGACGGUACCCGAAGAAGAAGCCCCGGCUAACUUCGUGCCAGCCGCCGCGGUAAUAC
rnacentral:rRNA from 1 species